rnacentral:rRNA from 1 species
UGAGGAAUAUUGGUCAAUGGACGCAAGUCUGAACCAGCCAAGUAGCGUGCAGGAUGACGGCCCUAUGGGUUGUAAACUGCUUUUAUAUGGGGAUAAAGUGGGGAACGUGUUCCCUUUUGCAGGUACCAUAUGAAUAAGGACCGGCUAAUUCCGUGCCAGCAGCCGCGGUAAUACGGAAGGUUCGGGCGUUAUCCGGAUUUAUUGGGUUUAAAGGGAGCGUAGGCCGUUUGGUAAGCGUGUUGUGAAAUGUAGGAGCUCAACUUCUAGAUUGCAGCGCGAACUGACAGACUUGAGUGCGCACAACGUAGGCGGAAUUCAUGGUGUAGCGGUGAAAUGCUUAGAUAUCAUGAAGAACUCCGAUUGCGAAGGCAGCUUACGGGAGCGCAACUGACGCUGAAGCUCGAAGGUGCGGGUAUCGAACAGG